rnacentral:rRNA from 1 species
GACGAACGCUGGCGGCGUGCCUAAUACAUGCAAGUUGAGCGCUGAAGGUUGGUACUUGUACCAACUGGAUGAGCAGCGAACGGGUGAGUAACGCGUGGGGAAUCUGCCUUUGAGCGGGGGACAACAUUUGGAAACGAAUGCUAAUACCGCAUAAAAACUUUAAACACAAGUUUUAAGUUUGAAAGAUGCAAUUGCAUCACUCAAAGAUGAUCCCGCGUUGUAUUAGCUAGUUGGUGAGGUAAAGGCUCACCAAGGCGAUGAUACAUAGCCGACCUGAGAGGGUGAUCGGCCACAUUGGGACUGGGACACGGCCCAAACUCCUACGGGAGGCAGCAGUAGGGAAUCUUCGGCGAUGGACGCAAGUCUGACCGAGCAACGCCGCGUGAGUGAAGAAGGUUUUCGGAUCGUAAAACUCUGUUGGUAGAGAAGAACGUUGGUGAGAGUGGAAAGCUCAUCAAGUGACGGUAACUACCCAGAAAGGGACGGCUAACUACGUG